CCUACGGGAGGCAGCAGUAAGGAAUAUUGGUCAAUGGACGCAAGUCUGAACCAGCCAUGCCGCGUGAAGGAUUAAGGCCCUCUGGGUUGUAAACUUCUUUUAUAGGGGACGAAAAAAGGGCAUUCUUGCUCACUUGACGGUACCCUAGGAAUAAGCACCGGCUAACUCCGUGCCAGCAGCCGCGGUAAUACGGAGGGUGCAAGCGUUAUCCGGAUUUACUGGGUUUAAAGGGUGCGUAGGUGGGUUGGUAAGUCAGUGGUGAAAUCUUCGAGCUUAACUCGGAAACUGCCAUUGAUACUAUCAAUCUUGAAUCAUCUAGAGGUAAGCGGAAUAUGUCAUGUAGCGGUGAAAUGCUUAGAUAUGACAUAGAACACCAAUUGCGAAGGCAGCUUACUAUGGAUGUAUUGACACUGAGGCACGAAAGCGUGGGGAUCAAACAGGAUUAGAUACCCUGGUAGUCCACGCCUAAACGANAGAUACUACACAUUAGUGUAUAUACUAUAGUAGUNUGAGACGAAGANAUAAGUAUACCACCGUAGGAGUACGACCGACGAGUAGAACGACAAGAGAGUAGAGNGNGAGAGAGACGACGACGACGACGAGGGAGGAGG
rnacentral:rRNA from 1 species